GACGAACGCUGGCGGCGUGCUUAACACAUGCAAGUCGAACGGAAAGGCCCUGCUUUUGUGGGGUGCUCGAGUGGCGAACGGGUGAGUAACACGUGAGUAACCUGCCCUUGACUUUGGGAUAACUUCAGGAAACUGGGGCUAAUACCGGAUAGGAGCUCCUGCUGCAUGGUGGGGGUUGGAAAGUUUCGGCGGUUGGGGAUGGACUCGCGGCUUAUCAGCUUGCUGGUGGGGUAGUGGCUUACCAAGGCUUUGACGGGUAGCCGGCCUGAGAGGGUGACCGGCCACAUUGGGACUGAGAUACGGCCCAGACGCCUACGGGAGGCAGCAGUGGGGAAUAUUGCACAAUGGGCGGAAGCCUGAUGCAGCAACGCCGCGUGCGGGAUGACGGCCUUCGGGUUGUAAACCGCUUUCGCCUGUGACGAAGCGUGAGUGACGGUAAUGGGUAAAGAAGCACCGGCUAACUACGUG
rnacentral:rRNA from 1 species